rnacentral:rRNA from 1 species
CCUACGGGGGGCAGCAGUGGGGAAUAUUGGACAAUGGGGGGAACCCUGAUCCAGCCAUGCCGCGUGUGUGAAGAAGGCCCUCGGGUUUUAAAGCACUUUCAGUGAGGAAGAACGCCUGGUGGUUAAUACCCAUCAGGAAAGACAUCACUCACAGAAGAAGCACCGGCUAACUCCGUGCCAGCAGCCGCGGUAAUACGGAGGGUGCGAGCGUUAAUCGGAAUUACUGGGCGUAAAGCGCGCGUAGGUGGCUUGAUAAGCCGGUUGUGAAAGCCCCGGGCUCAACCUGGGAACGGCAUCCGGAACUGUCAAGCUAGAGUGCAGGAGAGGAAGGUAGAAUUCCCGGUGUAGCGGUGAAAUGCGUAGAGAUCGGGAGGAAUACCAGUGGCGAAGGCGGCCUUCUGGACUGUAACUGACACUGAGGUGCGAAAGCGUGGGUAGCAAACAGGAUUAGAUACCCUAGUAGUC